CCUACGGGUGGCAGCAGUGGGGAAUAUUGGACAAUGGGCGAAAGCCUGAUCCAGCCAUGCCGCGUGUGUGAAGAAGGCCUUCGGGUUGUAAAGCACUUUCAGUGGGGAAGAAAGCCUUGGGGCUAAUACCCUCGAGGAAGGACAUCACCCACAGAAGAAGCACCGGCUAACUCCGUGCCAGCAGCCGCGGUAAUACGGAGGGUGCGAGCGUUAAUCGGAAUUACUGGGCGUAAAGCGCGCGUAGGCGGUCUGAUAAGCCGGUUGUGAAAGCCCCGGGCUCAACCUGGGAACGGCAUCCGGAACUGUCAGGCUAGAGUGCAGGAGAGGAAGGUAGAAUUCCCGGUGUAGCGGUGAAAUGCGUAGAGAUCGGGAGGAAUACCAGUGGCGAAGGCGGCCUCCUGGACUGACACUGACGCUGAGGUGCGAAAGCGUGGGUAGCAAACAGGAUUAGAUACCCCAGUAGUC
rnacentral:rRNA from 1 species